CGCUCCUUGGAGCUAGUGCGUCUU
rnacentral:sRNA from 1 species